AAUAGGGUACGGAUCCCCACGGAGAGCGGCGGAGCAUCCCCGGGGUGAGAAAGGAAGACACGGACAGAGCAUCCCCCGGGGCAGCAAGCACCGAGAGCGGCCGAGCACCGCCCCAGAGCGAGGGACACGGAACCGGGAGCACCACGGGGACCCAUGGAGCAUCCACCCGGGUCAGCGGUGAAGAGGGUGCCGGGAUCGGGCGGGAGGAGCACGGACACCCACCGGAUCAUCCCCCACAGGGUAGGAAUCCCCACGGAGCAGCGAGAGCUGCGGAGCAUCCCCGGGGUGCGAAGGGAGGACACCGACAGAGAAUCCCUUGGGUCAACGAGCGCCGAGAGCGACCGAGCAUCCCCGUGGUGAGGACGACGGUGCCAGGAGCAGCACGGAGAGUGAGAUAGCAUCCCCCGGAGGGUAGGGAUCCCCACGGAGAGCGGCGGAGCAUCCCCGGGGUGAGAAAGGAAGACACGGACAGAGCAUCCCCCGGGGCAGCAAGCACCGAGAGCGGCCGAGCACCGCCCCAGAGCGAGGGACACGGAACCGGGAGCACCACGGGGACCCAUGGAGCAUCCACCCGGGUCAGCGGUGAAGAGGGUGCCGGGAUCGGGCGGGAGGAGCACGGACACCCACCGGAUCAUCCCCCACAGGGUAGGAAUCCCCACGGAGCAGCGAGAGCGUCGGAGCAUCCCCGGGGUGCGAAGGGAGGACACCGACAGAGAAUCCCUUGGGUCAACGAGCGCCGAGAGCGACCGAGCAUCCCCGUGGUGAGGACGACGGUGCCAGGAGCAGCACGGAGAGUGAGAUAGCA